GAGAGCAUAGCUCAGUGGUAGAGCACAUGCUUAAUGUGCAAGAGGUCCUGGGUUCAAUCCCCACUACCUCCA
rnacentral:tRNA from 1 species